rnacentral:misc_RNA from 1 species
UUUCCGUAGGUGAACCUGCGGAAGGAUCAUUCAUAAUAAGUGUUAUAUGGCACUUUUUUAAAUCCAUAUCCACCUUGUGUGCAAUGUCAGGGUUGGUCUCUUUUGAUCAGCCCCAAACAUCAGCUAUUAUCUCAACUCUUUGUCUGAAAAAUAUUAUGAAUAAAACAAUUCAAAAUACAACUUUCAACAACGGAUCUCUUGGCUCUC